rnacentral:tRNA from 1 species
GCGAAGGUGGCGGAAUUGGUAGACGCGCUAGCUUCAGGUGUUAGUGUCCUUACGGACGUGGGGGUUCAAGUCC